CCAGGAAGCACUUCUCUGUCUUCUUGUGUAGGCAAUCAGUGCCACCACCACCACGUCUAUCUCCACCACAACUGCCAUCAAGUGUUGGCUGCUACAGUAGGCCAGGACCUGUGCUAGGCACUUUAUGAUGUUUCUUCAAAUCCUCACAGACACCUAUGAGGCAGAGACAACAUUUUGAAGAACAUUUAGAAGGAAGACAUAAAAGGCUAACAUCUUUGGAGAAGAGAAAUAUGUGUUAUCUGAGCAGAAUAACCUGGACCAUCAUUUGUAAAUGACAUAAUAAUCAUCAGAAAUGCUGAAAACCAAAGAAUAGCAGGUUUUUGCUUUCCAAA